rnacentral:piRNA from 1 species
UAUUGAGAUGUGCCUGUGUACCCUGUGC